UACGUAGGGUGCAAGCGUUAAUCGGAAUCAUUGGGUUUAAAGGGUCCGUAGGCGGGAUAAUAAGUCAGUGGUGAAAGUCUGCAGCUCAACUGUAGAAUUGCCAUUGAUACUGUUGUUCUUGAGUGUUUAUGAAGUGGUUAGAAUAUGUAGUGUAGCGGUGAAAUGCAUAGAUAUUACAUAGAAUACCGAUUGCGAAGGCAGAUCACUAAUAAUGUACUGACGCUGAGGGACGAAAGCGUAGGUAGCGAACAGG
rnacentral:misc_RNA from 1 species